UUUUCGGCCACUAAUAAUUACUGUUAGUUUUGUUUCUUGGAAAUGCCAGCAAAACAACUUUUAGAAUGAGCUAAAAAUAUGUGCGUGUGGCAAUUCUAGAGCUAAGAAACGCAGCAGAUCUCUGGGCACGAGCAAUUUUAUUAGGUCAAAACCAAUCAGACUUCGUGACCGUAUUAUGCGGUGACUCUGUAUAAGUUUGGGCCAAUCGCGCGGGCUCGUUCCAGCCACGUAUCUUUCAAGUAUAAAGCCUUAUCAACUUUCGGUGGUCACUUACCAUGGUCGUAACGGGUGACAAGAAAUCAGGGUUCGAUUCCAGAGACGUAGCCUGAGAAACGGUUACCACAUCCAAGGAAAACAGCACACGUGCAAAUUACCCUCUCCCAGAACGGAGAGGUA
rnacentral:ncRNA from 1 species